rnacentral:rRNA from 1 species
CACGUAGGGUGCGAGCGUUGUCCGGAAUUAUUGGGCGUAAAGAGCUCGUAGGCGGUGUGUCGCGUCGGCCGUGAAAACCUGCAGCUUAACUGUGGGCGUGCGGUCGAUACGGGCAUCACUGGAGUUCGGCAGGGGAGACUGGAAUUCCUGGUGUAGCGGUGAAAUGCGCAGAUAUCAGGAGGAACACCGGUGGCGAAGGCAGCUCUCUGGGACGGUACUGACGCUGAGACGCGAAAGCGUGGGGAGCGAACAGG